rnacentral:rRNA from 1 species
ACGAACGCUGGCGGCGUGCUUAACACAUGCAAGUCGAACGGAAAGGCCCUGCUUUUGUGGGGUGCUCGAGUGGCGAACGGGUGAGUAACACGUGAGUAACCUGCCCUUGACUUUGGGAUAACUUCAGGAAACUGGGGCUAAUACCGGCUAGGAGCUCCUGCUGCAUGGUGGGGGUUGGAAAGUUUCGGCGGUUGGGGAUGGACUCGCGGCUUAUCAGCUUGUUGGUGGGGUAGUGGCUUACCAAGGCUUUGACGGGUAGCCGGCCUGAGAGGGUGACCGGCAAAAAUGGGACUGAGAUACGGCCCAGACUACAACGGGAGGCAGCAGUGGGGAAUAUUGCACAAUGGGCGGAAGCCUGAUGCAGCAACGCCGCGUGCGGGAUGACGGCCUUCGGGUUGUAAACAGAUUUCGCAUGUGACGAAGCGUGAGUGACGGUAAUGGGUAAAGAAGCACCGGCUAACUACGUG